GCCUGGGUGGCUUAGUCAGUUGAGCAUCUGACUUCAGCUCAGGUCAUGAUCUCACGAUUCAUGAGUUCGAACCCUGUAUCAGGCU
rnacentral:tRNA from 1 species